rnacentral:rRNA from 1 species
CCCACCCAGGCAUUGCCUUAAGUAGCGGCGAGUGAGCGGCAAAGCUCAAUUUGAAAUCUGGUACUUUCAGUAUCCGAGUUGUAAUUUGUAGAAGCAACUUUGGUGAUGGUCUUUGCAUAAGUUCCUUGGAAUAGGACGUCAUAGAGGGUGAGAAUCCCGUAUAUGGUGAAGAACCCACACUAUGUAAAGUGCUUUCGAAGAGUCGAGUUGUUUGGGAAGGCAGCUCAAAGUGGGUGGUAAAUUCCAUCUAAAGCUAAAUAUUGGCGAGAGACCGAUAGCGAACAAGUACUGUGAAGGAAAGAUGAAAAGAACUUUGAAAAGAGAGUGAAAAAGUACGUGAAAUUGUUGAAAGGGAAGGGAUCUAAAUCAGACAUGGUAUUUUGUGAUCAACAGUCUUUCGGGAUUGUGCACUCGCAUUUUACUAGGCCAGCAUCGGUUAGAAGGGGGUAAAAAAGAUUUUGGAAUGUGGCUCCUCGGAGUGUUAUAGCCAAAGUUAAUUGCCCCAUUUCUGACCGAGGACCGCGUCUUUUGACUAGGAUGCUGGCGUAAUGGUUUUGAUCCACCCGUCUGAAAACCACGGGACCA